rnacentral:rRNA from 1 species
CGAACCUGGAGAACUGAAACAUCUAAGUACCCAGAGGAAAAGAAAUCAACCGAGAUUCCGUCAGUAGCGGCGAGCGAAAGCGGAACAGCCCAGUUACUAAAUCAUUAUUGGCUUUAGCAGAAUGUUCUGGAAAGUUCAGCCAUAGUGGGUAAUAGCCCCGUAUAUAAAAGGGUUAAUAAUGUGGGUAACGAUGAGUAGGUCGGGACACGUGAAAUCUUGACUGAAUAUGGGGGGACCAUCCUCCAAGGCUAAAUACUCCUUACUGACCGAUAGCGAACUAGUACCGUAAGGGAAAGGUGAAAAGAACCCCGGCAAGGGGAGUGAAAUAGAACCUGAAACCGUAUGCGUACAAGCAGUCAAAGCACUUCUUCGGAAGUGUGAUGGCGUACCUUUUGUAUAAUGGGUCAGCGACUUACUUGUUGUAGCAAGCUUAACCGUAUAGGGGAGGCGUAGAGAAACCGAGUCUGAAAUGGGCGUUUAGUUGCAACA